rnacentral:rRNA from 1 species
GACGUAGGGCGCGAGCGUUGUCCGGAUUUAUUGGGCGUAAAGAGCUCGUAGGCGGCUUGUCGCGUCGACUGUGAAAACCCGCGGCUCAACUGCGGGCCUGCAGCCGAUACGGGCAGGCUAGAGUUCGGUAGGGGAGACUGGAAUUCCUGGUGUAGCGGUGAAAUGCGCAGAUAUCAGGAGGAACACCAAUAGCGAAGGCAGCUCGCUGGGACGUUACUGACACUGAGGCGCGAAAGCGUGGGGAGCGAACAGG